rnacentral:rRNA from 1 species
GCUGGCGGCAGGCUAACACAUGCAAGUCGAGCGGAGAGAGGUAGCUUGCUACUGAUCUUAGCGGCGGACGGGUGAGUAAUGCUUAGGAAUCUGCCUAUUAGUGGGGGACAACAUUUCGAAAGGAAUGCUAAUACCGCAUACGUCCUACGGGAGAAAGCAGGGGAUCUUCGGACCUUGCGCUAAUAGAUGAGCCUAAGUCGGAUUAGCUAGUUGGUGGGGUAAAGGCCUACCAAGGCGACGAUCUGUAGCGGGUCUGAGAGGAUGAUCCGCCACACUGGGACUGAGACACGGCCCAGACUCCUACGGGAGGCAGCAGUGGGGAAUAUUGGACAAUGGGCGCAAGCCUGAUCCAGCCAUGCCGCGUGUGUGAAGAAGGCCUUAUGGUUGUAAAGCACUUUAAGCGAGGAGGAGGCUACUUUAGUUAAUACCUAGAGAUAGUGGACGUUACUCGCAGAAUAAGCACCGGCUAACUCUGUGCCAGCAGCCGCGGUAAUACAGAGGGUGCAAGCGUUAAUCGGAUUUACUGGGCGUAAAGCGCGCGUAGGCGGCUAAUUAAGUCAAAUGUGAAAUCCCCGAGCUUAACUUGGGAAUUGCAUUCGAUACUUGGUUUAGCUAGAAU